AUGACAGCAGAGCACAUGACCUGCUUUGAGACGCGGGUAUCAAGCUCUCUUGACACCUCUGUUAGUCUCAAGUCAAAGUUGGCCCUGCACCUCUGAGGUUUGGGUGAUGAUGAACCUGAAAACCGCCUCCUUGGGCUUGACAACCUCGCAGUUGGUGACCCUGACAGCCAGCUCUUUGUGAGUGCAGGCACGAUCUCCUUCCCUGUCAUGAUGGGUCUUGUCUCCUGGUUCAAAGGACCUCUCUUUGUCUCCAAUGGUAAUGGUCUCAUCGGGGAGAUGGUCGUGGAUGGCAACUUCUGCCUGAUUCGCUCACGCGCACGCUCAGCGGCUGCCAUUGCUUUGUCCUUGUUCAUAGUGAUCAACGUCCAUGGGUUGAUCGAGACGUCAUCCUUCCUUCUUGUUGCAUCAUUGGCCUCCUUCUCGUCGAUCCUAAUCGAUAGCUUUCGGGUACUCUAUCAUGUUCAAAAUUGUUUUGUUAUCUAUGAAGUUACCUGA
rnacentral:rRNA from 1 species